rnacentral:lncRNA from 10 species
CGAGGAGUGGGCUAGUCUCCCGGGUCGGUCACCGCUGAACUCUCAGAGACAAUCAAGCUUUCGAUGAUCAUGUGAUGAGGUUUCCAGUCAGUUCCAGGUGAAGACACCACUGGCCAUCAAGAAGCUACCCUCUCCCCACCAGACAGAGCAGGAUGAGAGUUCUAUAAUCCUCAAUAGGAGGAAGCACUCAAUUGAACAAGUGCAGGAACCAGCUGGCUGCCUCAGCACUGACAGAAGCAAAUUCCAUUUGCUUGGACCCACUGCAUUCCAUCCCUUGUGGAAGAGAGCAUGUAAGCAAGACAGGACCUUCAGGCCUCUGAAAAAAAAAGGAUCAAAGAACUGAAACUCACCAGAUCACCUCACCAGAUGCUGGACCCCUCAUUCACCAUGUUUGCUUCCUUGCCUCUCCCUAGUUCUUAUUUUCUUACACAUUGUUACAUUUCUUCCCUGCUAUAUCAACCCCUAGUUCUAGUCAGUCAUGGAGAUGGAUUUGAGACUGAUCUCCCAUCCCCUCAGCUACACCACCUGAUUAAA